GGUACUGUAGCUCAGUAGUUAGAGCACCAGCCCUGCAAGCCAGAGGCAGCGAGUUCCUACCUCGCCUGGGCCU
rnacentral:tRNA from 1 species